AGUAAUUCAUCAUGAUAAAAACACAGAUCAAAUAGGCAAGGCAAGAAACAGAACUAUCUUCCAGAAUCUUGAAAAGGUGCGGAGUGCUACAGUGGUUGUAGUAUGUAAAGAAAAGAUCAAACACGAAAAGGUAUCAUCAUCCCUGGAGAUGUCAUCGCAUAUCAAAAUUCAACACCAGUCUCAGCUGUCGGUCGAUGGUUACACUAACUGAUUAGACGAGUUCAUAGCAGCGAUGCCCUUAUGAAUCAUUUGCCUUCUUGGUUUUUCUCGGUCAAUGGUCGAUGGUCGAUGGUCCUGAUUCAUAAGGGCAUCUAAGAAAGAAAAAAUACACAUUUAGGGUAAAAAAUACACAUUUUAUAUGACAAGAAUCGAAUAAAUAGGCCAAUUUUACACACUGCAAUCACAGACCUAAUAUUACACAUCAAUUUUCAAUUAUUCCGAUCUACAAGGCUAGUUCCAAUUUGAUCAAAGCAGGAAGUAAAAGAAAAAUGCAUUGUUGAAACAAACAAAAAGUGAGAUGUUGUAUCGAGACCUCACCCAACCACACUUCUUGCAAAAACUGUAUAUAUUCAACAGCCUGCAAUAGAAAAUGGUGUCAAGAAAACCAGCUUAAUUAAAUGGGUUGCAGCAUAUAAUCAAUAACCUUCUAGGUUUGUGCCUUGUUUGUUUUAUGAUACCGAGAACCAAGUUAUUUAUGUGCAUCUCUAGUUAGAACCCAACCGAAAUAAAUACAAUAUCUGAGGUGAAAAAAACAUAAAAAUUAAUAGACAAAAAAAUUUAGCAGGAUUAAGCACCACAUCGCGAGUGUUGCAUGUUGGAAAGGGUAAACGUUAAGACUUCAAGGUCGGCCCAUCAUGAAUGAAAGCCUGCACAAAUCGACAAAUUAUGUAAUAGAAAAUCAAUAUUCAGAGGACUGUUAACUAACACCCCAGGGUAAAUUUUGAAGCAGGAACAAUAUCAUGACAGAUUGAUUAACAUGAUUGUAGCUUUUUUAGGCUCGACCUCCUAUAUGAAGUAUCGUAUAGUCCCUUGCACCAUAGCAAGGUACCCUAUAUGAAAUAACAACUGGGACACUAUAAAGAAUUACUACUCAAGCUGACAGACCAAAAACUAAUUGAAAUAUGUGAUUUCAUAAUCUGCUCCAUUUGCCAAAAAUCGAAAAGCAAACAAUGGACUAUAUCAAUAAAUCUUGUAAUGGUUUUGUUAGAUGAUAGCUAAGAACUACUUAAAUUAGCACAAUGAAUUUAGAUGGUCAAAUCUCCAGCUUGCUAGUUCUCUCUUUUGGUUGUUAAUAGAUCUCAAAGAUUGCCAGAGUUCACCAACAAUUGCAUGCCCAGAAAUCCUAACUCUGCUUAGCCAGGUGAUACAUGCAGCUCCUAGGCUGUAUCACCCUGAGUUGAAGAAUUAUAAACAGCAAAUACGUUACAUGUGAGUGUGUGUGCGUGUGUUGUUAGCUGAUUCAAUCCAUCUCAAGGCAAGCAUGGUUCGCUAUGUGUUCGUUUUGCCAUCGACCGAAAGCGCUGGCCAGGCGUAUAUUGGUUUCACGGCAUCAGACCUACGUUAUAUAUUUGUGUUAGAACAUAAAAAUGCUAAGAAUCAUUUAUUCUCCACUCGAUCUACACAAUCAUUGCUCGUCCGCUGUAAUCUACUAUAAUCUACACCAAACUGAUCUCACAACACAACUCGGAAGUCAAAACAUCGAAUGAAUCGUGGCUGUGUCAAAGGACAAGGCAAGCCAGAUCUGAUAAAGGGCAAGGACUGCAUAGCUUACCAUAAAUUCUGGAAUGCAAGAGCAACACUUGUCGUAAAAAAUUGGAACAUGAGGAAAACGAAGGAGAGGAUCGGGACCAACGCACCUGUAACGAAGGAGAUUUUUUUUACCCUGAAUAUGUAUUUUUUUCUCGGUCGAUGGUCGAUGUUAGCCUUCUUGGUUUUUCUCCAAAAUCUGCAUCUCCACCUUCAGAUAUUUAUUGCAUCAUUACUCUCUCUUAAUGAAGCCAAUAUAUAGCAGCGAGUCAGCGAUAGGUGAUGGUUUCUAUUGAACACGCCAAGGGGCAACGAACAAUCGAAACAAAUAAAAGAUGGGUAAAUUAUUCUCCCAUCUAAGCAGAUAUCGAGUAAAAAUCAGGAGAAUGAUAUAAUAUAAUCAACUUCCUUCAUAAAAUCAGUCAACACUUCGUACUCUCAAUCCAAUAUGAUUCAUCAUUUGCACAUGUUAAUAUAUCUGAAUCAUACAACAAAUAAUGCAUACAAAUUAUCAUAUCCGUGCAAUUAGGCAGAAGAGAGAAAAAUAAAACAUGUGCCUCUUUCGAUGUGCCUUCUCCAUAUAAUCAUCUCAAUCCAAGUCCAAGACCCUCUCUCUUGUGAUAUGAAUCCCAGAGUACACUUUGCUAACUCUAAUUAGCACACAAAGGCAUGUAUUAGUCUCUAACAUAACUCGUAUUUUUAACAAAAUGAGUAGGUGAAUCUAUACUAUUAACUCGUAUACUACAAAAGAGUAGCCAGUGGCACUCUUUCCGGUGAUCCUGUCCCGUCCGCCGUCGGACCUCCUCUCCUCUCCAUGCUUCUCUCCCUCUCAUCUUCUCUCUCCUGCAUAUUAAAUCGAGUGGCGGUGGUGUUGCUCUUUGCCUGCAAGUCGUCGCCACCACUGAAGAGAAAAGUGGGUGCUCCGCCACCGUCGAAGAGAAAAGUGGGCGCUCCUUCUGGCGACCAUCUCUCAUCUGCUGACACACCUCCUCUCCUCUUUGCAAUCUCUUUCUCCCUCAUCUCCUCUCCUCCACUUCCUUGUCUCUCUCCCUCUCGUAUUCUCUCUUCCGUAGAUCGAAUCGAGCGCUGUCGUCGUCUCACUUUGCUAGCCGCUGGAGAGGACAGUAAAAGGGAGGAGGAGGCAGUGUGGUGGAGAGCAGGGCAAAAGGGGAGGAGGCAGCGGCGCGGUGGAGAGCAGGGCAGAAGGGGGGAGACGGUGGCGUAGUGGAGAGGGAGGGGAGCGAGGCUGGAUUGGCUUCUCGAAGACGCACGGGAUUGGUGGCGCUAGGUUUUCACCUUGCAACACGAUUCACCCCCGCUAUUUAGGAGUCUAUGAAGGUUGGUGCGGAUAAUCCCGAUUACACAAUGGGUCAUGCCAGUAAAAGAUGGAUUGAUUGGACUCACAUAAGCUCGCACAUAGUCUACUAUGACUAAUCACUCUGUGAUGAGAUCGUUAACACAUAUUGUUGGUUAGUAGCUAGUAUUGUAGAAAUGGAAAUUUAGUUUGACCUUGUAUCAGGUGAUUUUCUCACUACCUCAUGUAGCAAAUCAAUCAUAUAGGUAUAUAACACAAUGGAAAAUAGAAAUAUCACCGAGCAAGACCGGAUAUCUAGGACCCAGAUCUAGUUUUGAUGUCAAAUAUGUUGUGGCCGCUACCAGUCUUGAAGCAAUGAUCUUUCUUGGAAUUCUUCUAGUUCUGCAUAUGAAGUAGUUUGAUUCAGAAUUCUAGCAGGAGUUAUAAAUUAGGUGCAGGCCAAUCAAAGGAUUACUGGUAUUUGAGAAAAAUAAUGUGAGAAGAAUUAAUGAGACAAUUUUGAUAGAGCAUUAACAUGAGGUAGAUAUACGUAUAUAAUGGAUUGGAAAACAGGCAUAAACUAUGAGACAGUCCAACAGUAGACAUGUUUCUGAAACCAUGAAACAGUAGCAAUCACCAAGGCAACAAUUAAGCACCAAUUUAUUGUUGAACCCAAUGUAAAUUCUGAUCAACCACAGACAUUUGAAUACCUUGCAUCACUUUAUUUGUUUGCAAAGUAGAAAUUUGAGCAGUUAAACAUUUCCAACUUUGUCUAUAUGAUAAAGUUUAUGUUUCUCCUGUAGUCGUCCACAUUUUCACACAUGAAGAUGCAUUCAGCAAUAUUUUAGAAGAGAUAAUACGUCUCGGUUAAACAACCCACUGCAUAAUCUUUUAUGGAUUCGAUGACUGUAAGGUCUGGUCUCCCAAUUUGCAUAGGAAUUCUGAAUGUAUAGUGUUUACCAUGGCUUUAAUUAACAUGUUGCCAUGUCUCCCAAUGCAUAAACUUUGUCAUACAACAGUACGUCUCAGUUGAGCAACCCACUGAAAUAGUGUUUACCAUGGAUGUAAUUAAUUAGGUUGCUUCAAUAAACAUAACCCCCACUGCAUACGCCUCAGUUAACUAACAAUACACUACAGAACAAAGAAUACUCAUGUAUUCCCCACCUAAUCUAAAAACCAUUUGAUCUUCACUAAAACUAAUUUCUGAACACAAUUAAUGCCAUAACAAAGCGCAUGACGGCGAACGAAUCAUGUUGUGCUCACCAUGGCAAAGAAGAUUUCACGAUAAGGCAAGCAAUAACUGAGUUAGAAAGAACGUAACCAAUCGCGUACUGAAAAUUCUUUUGAGUGCAAGAGCACACCUGUUAAACCCACGGCUAAGGAAGACAAUGGCAAUGGAGGAGAAGAUUGAGAUCGACGCACCUGUAAUGGCGUCCUCUACGGAGCCGAACUUCCGGUCGUUGGAUCUCCACACGAUNNNNNNN
rnacentral:lncRNA from 1 species